UUCAAGUCUUCCCAAUGGAGACCCCAGAUCCCUUGGAAUAUAAGUCAUCCCCACUGUGCUGUUUGAAUGACCCACCCACAGAAUCGCUCUUUCUAGAUUGAUGACAAUAAGUAUUCCAUGCCUUGGAGAAGAAACUGGAAUUUCAAGCUGUACUUUGGAAGACAUCUUCUUCAGCUGGGUCCAAGUUUCAUUCCACUCUGAUCUGCUCCCUCACUCAAAGGGGAGUAGUAAUUCCAUCUUUGUCUAUCAAACUGGCCAAUGAG